rnacentral:rRNA from 1 species
UUCAGAUACGAAUUCGUAGCGAAAGCGAGUCUGAAUAGGGCGUUAAGUUGGUAGUAGUAGACGCGAAACCUGGUGAUCUACCCUUGGGCAGGUUGAAGCGCUGGUAACACAGCGUGGAGGACCGAACUGGUUGUCGUUGAAAAGACUUCGGAUGACCUGAGGGUAGGGGUGAAAGGCCAAUCAAACUGGGAAAUAGCUCGUACUCCCCGAAAUGCAUUUAGGUGCAGCGUUGAUGUGAGUUUAAUAGAGGUAGAGCUACUGAUUGGAUGCGGGGGUUUCAUCGCCUACCAAUUCCUGACAAACUCCGAAUGCUAUUAAAUGCUCAUCAGCAGUGAGGGUAUGGGUGCUAAGGUCCAUAUCCUAGAGGGAAAGAACCCGGACCAUCAGCUAAGGUCCCCAAAUAUAUGCUAAGUUGACCAAACGCGGUCUGACUGCACUGACAGCUAGGAUGUUGGCUUGGAAGCAGCCAUACAUUUAAAGAGUGCGUAACAGCUCACUAGUCGAGCGGUUGGGCAUGGAUAAUAAACGGGCAUAAGCAUAUUACCGAAGCUAUGGGGUUGUAUUAACAUACAUACCGGUAGGGGAGCAUUCUAUAGGCGUCGAAGCUAAAGUUGUGAGACAUAGUGGAGCUGAUAGAAAAGAAAAUGUAGGCAUAAGUAACGAUAAGGCAGGCGAGAAACCUGCCCGCCGAAAGAUCAAGGUUUCCUCAGCUAUGCUAAUCAGCUGAGGGUUAGUCGGGGACUAACGCGCACCCGAGCAGGGGAAGUGGAUGUACAACAGGUUAAUAUUCCUGUACCAUUAAUCUAAUAAAAGUGACGGAACGAGAUAACUACCGCGUACUGACGGAAUAGUACGUUAAAGGAGCAGUUAUAGCUUUGAUAGUACACUGAAGCUUCGGCCGAGGUGAUAGAGUGGUGACAACGUUUCCAAGAAAAGCGAAGAUUAAUGCCCGUACCGUAAACCGACACAGGUGAUUGGGAUGAGAAUUCUAAGGCGCUCGAGAGAUUCAUGGCUAAGGAACUAGGCAAAAUAGACCUGUAACUUCGGGAGAAAGGUCGCCUAUCUAGCGAUAGGCCGCAGUGAAAAGGUCCAAGCGACUGUUUAUCAAAAACACAGGACUCUGCAAAAUCGAAAGAUGAGGUAUAGGGUCUGACACCUGCCCGGUGCUGGAAGGUUAAGAGGAGAGCUUAGCGUAAGCGAAGGUUUGAAUUGAAGCCCCAGUAAACGGCGGCCGUAACUAUAACGGUCCUAAGGUAGCGAAAUUCCUUGUCGGGUAAGUUCCGACCUGCACGAAUGGUGUAACGAUUUGGACACUGUCUCGGCCAUGAGCUCGGUGAAAUUGUAGUAUCGGUGAAGAUGCCGAUUACCCGCAGUGGGACGAAAAGACCCUGUGCACCUUUACUAUAUCUUCGUAUUGGUCUUGGAUAAGUGAUGCGUAGGAUAGGUGGGAGACUGCGAAGCGGCUAUUCUGGUAGUUGUGGAGUCGUUGUUGAAAUACCACCCUUUGCUUAUCUGAGGUCUAACCCUGCAGAGUGCAGGGGACAAUUCGUGGAGGGUAGUUUGACUGGGGUGGUCGCCUCCAAAAGAGUAACGGAGGCUUCUAAAGGUUCCCUCAGCACGCUUGGUAACCGUGCGUAGAGUGCAAUGGCAUAAGGGUGCUUGACUGAGAGACUCACAAGUCGAUCAGGUACGAAAGUA